rnacentral:rRNA from 1 species
GAUGAACGCUGACAGAAUGCUUAACACAUGCAAGUCUACUUGAACUUCGGUUUGGGUGGCGGACGGGUGAGUAACGCGUACAGAACUUGCCUCACAGAUAGGGACAACAUUUGGAAACGAAUGCUAAUACCUGAUAUUAUUAUUUUAGGGCAUCCUAGCAUUAUGAAAGCUAUAUGCACUGUGAGAGAGCUUUGCGUCCCAUUCGCUAGUUGGAGAGGUAACGGCUCACCAAGGCGAUGAUGGGUAGCCGGCCUGAGAGGGUGAUCGGCCACAAGGGGACUGAGACAGGGCCCUUACGUCUGCGGGAGGCAGGAGUGGGGAAUAUUGGACAAUGGACCAAGAGUAUGAUGCAGCAAUUCUGUGUGGACGAUGAAGUUUUUCGGAAUGUAAAGUGCUUUCAGUUGGGAAGAAAAAAAUGACGGUACCAACAGAAGAAGCGACGGCUAAAUACGUG